UCCUCGUAGUAGUGCUAGAAGCUCACACAUAACAACAGUGGAUGUCACGGUAAAAGAACCUGCAAAACCUAGUAACCAAUUACCCUAGCUAGUCCUGAGGACACCUCUGAUACUUACCAACUCAAAAAUUGUGGGUGCUGCAACAUUAGUAUGAAGGAAGAUAGUGUCGGGCUUUGUACUGGAUAACGUUCGAAGUAUAGGGUGGUUGCGAGAUAUAGAUGGCGGAAUCAAAAAAUAAAGUGCCUGGUACAAUUCACAGCCAAAAGUAAGAAUUGUGUAUAGUGACGGUUGGAUUUUGAUUUUCUUGAAGGUAUUUUACUUCGAGUUAACCAUAAAUGCCAAAGCAAGAAGGCAUAAAAAAGUGAUCGUGGUAAGGUUCGUAUAUGCACAGGCACGUGGUGCCAAUGAAGUAGUCGUUUGAGCCAAGUAGCUGGUGUUGUAGGAGUGGAACCUAAUAGAGAGGGUACUUGGACCUUUGGCCCGAGCCAGGAAUCUGUCCAGAACUUGAUAUUGG
rnacentral:lncRNA from 1 species